rnacentral:rRNA from 1 species
GACGAACGCUGGCGGCGCGCUUAACACAUGCAAGUCGAACGGUAAAGCCUGCUUUCCCUUGUGGAGUGCGGUUACUCGAGUGUCGAACGGGUGAGUAACACGUGAGUGAUCCUCCCGCAAAAUGGGUGUAAGCGUGGGAAACUGGGGCUUAUUCCCUGUACUUCUCCUGGGUGGUGGUUGUGGUGGAAAACGAUGUUCUGGAGGGGCGGGCUGAGUACGCGGUCUCUGAGCUUGUUGGGGGGGUAAUGGCCUUCCAAGGCUGCGAGGGGUAGGCGGCCUGAGAGGGUGGGCGGCCACAUUGUGACUGAGAGACGGCCCCGAGUCCUACGCGAGGCAGCGGUGGGGAAUAUUGCGCAAUGGGGGGAAGACUGAGGCGGCGACGCGGCGUGGGGGAUGACGGGCCUCGGGUGGUAAGCUCCUUUCGCGCGCGUGGACGCCACGUGGUUGGAAGGGUGGUGACGGUAGUGGUAGAAGAAGCACCGGCUAACUACGUG